GGAAUUUUGCGCAAUGGGCUAACGCCUGACGCAGCAACGCCGCGUGGAGGAUGAAGGUCUUUGGAUUGUAAACUCCUGUCAGCAGGGAAAAAGCGACCUGACCUCAUACGUCAGGGAGUUGAUUGUACCUGCAGCGGAAGCCCCGGCUAACUCUGUGCCAGCAGCCGCGGUAAUACAGAGGGGGCAAGAGUUAUUCGGAAUUAUUGGGCGUAAAGGGCGCGUAGGCGGCCAGUCAAGUGGAAGGUGAAAUCCCUCGGCUUAACCGAGGAACUGCCUUCCAGACUGUUUGGCUUGAGACCAGGAGGGGUGAGUGGAAUUCCCAGUGUAGCGGUGAAAUGCGUAGAUAUUGGGAGGAACACCAGUGGCGAAGGCGGCUCACUGGACUGGUACUGACGCUGAGGCGCGAAAGCGUGGGGAGCAAAC
rnacentral:rRNA from 1 species